AACGCACCUUGCGCCCCUUGGUAUUCCGAGGGGCACACCCGUUUGAGUGUCGUGAAAAUCUCAACCUUCUCGGUUUCUUCUGGACACCGAAGGAGGCUUGGACUUUGGAGGCCUUUGCUGGCGUCUCUCUUUUGAGAGCCAGCUCCUCUUAAAUGAAUUAGCGGGGUCCUCUUUGCUGGUCCUCGACAUGUGAUAAGAUGUUUCCAUGUCUUGGUUUCUGGCUCUGUUGCUUUUGGGACUCGCUUCUAACCGUCUCAACGAGACAACGUUUGAGCGCGUCUCCCUUCUCGGGAGACCCUCUCAACCUCACGAACCCUUGACCUCAAAUCGGGUGAGACUACCCGCUGAACUUAA
rnacentral:misc_RNA from 1 species